CCAAUGCAGCCUUGAGGGGUUCCUCCUUGUGAUGGGGUAUACCUGUUGCACCCGGGACAGGAAGAUGCUAACCCUAUACUGUGGCCUGAGGAAUCCAUGCCCACUCGCCCCUGCUGGACAUGCUCCCACUGGAACCAUAGUAUGAAAAGGAGCAGCCCAGCUCAGUCUGCCCUGACCAGGGAGGAGAUAGGAGCUGUCGGACUCUCAGACUGCAGGGGCCAGGCACACCGAGACCCAGGAAAACCUACAGAAGCCCAUGAGAAGGAGUCAUUGGGCACUUCGCCGGCCAACUACCUCAGAGACCCAGAGGACCUGAGGACUACAGGGCGAGAAGACCAGGUGAAUCAGCACACACUAUGAACGAUUCACUUUGGAUGAUGGACAUCAAACCUGAUGUUACUACCAGAUGGUCGUAAGGUAACUUCAACAGAAUAGCUCAUAUGAGUAGAACUCUGACCUACAGAAAGAAAUUCAUGUGUUAACCCAAUGCACCAGACAGAACAUGUAUGUUUCUCAACUUUGUACUAAUUCUUCC